UACAGAGGGUGCAAGCGUUGUUCGGAAUUACUGGGCGUAAAGCGCGUGUAGGCUGCAAUGUAAGUCGGAUGUGAAAGCCCUUGGCUUAACCAAGGAAGUGCAUCUGAUACUGCAUCGCUUGAGUGUCGGAGGGGAUGGCGGAAUUCCCGGUGUAGAGGUGAAAUUCGUAGAUAUCGGGAGGAACACCUGUGGCGAAGGCGGCCAUCUGGACGAUAACUGACGCUGAGACGCGAAAGCGUGGGUAGCAAACAGG
rnacentral:rRNA from 2 species